UACGGAGGGUGCAAGCGUUAUCCGGAUUCACUGGGUUUAAAGGGUGCGUAGGCGGGCAGGUAAGUCAGUGGUGAAAUCCCCGAGCUUAACUUGGGAACUGCCGUUGAUACUAUCUGUCUUGAAUACUGUGGAGGUAAGCGGAAUAUGUCAUGUAGCGGUGAAAUGCUUAGAUAUGACAUAGAACACCUAUUGCGAAGGCAGCUUGCUACACAGUCAUUGACGCUGAGGCACGAAAGCGUGGGGAUCAAACAGGAUUAGAUACCCUGGUAGUCCACGCCCUAAACGAUGGAUACUCGACAUCAGCGAUACACUGUUGGUGUCUGAGCGAAAGCAUUAAGUAUCCCACCUGGGAAGUACGACCGCAAGGUUGAA
rnacentral:rRNA from 1 species